UACGGAGGGUGCAAGCGUUAUCCGGAUUCACUGGGUUUAAAGGGUGCGUAGGCGGGCAGGUAAGUCCGUGGUGAAAUCUCUGAGCUUAACUCAGAAACUGCCAUGGAUACUAUUUGUCUUGAAUAUUGUGGAGGUAAGCGGAAUAUGUCAUGUAGCGGUGAAAUGCUUAGAUAUGACAUAGAACACCAAAUUGCGAAGGCAGCUCUACAC
rnacentral:rRNA from 1 species